UACGUAGGGUGCAAGCGUUAAUCGGAAUUACUGGGCGUAAAGCGUGCGCAGGCGGUUCUAUAAGACAGAUGGGAAAUCCCCGGGCUCAACCUGGGAACUGCAUUUGUGACUGUAGAGCUGGAGUACGGUAGAGGGGGAUGGAAUUCCGCGUGUAGCAGUGAAAUGCGUAGAUAUGCGGAGGAACACCGAUGGCGAAGGCAAUCCCCUGGACCUGUACUGACGCUCAUGCACGAAAGCGUGGGGAGCAAACAGG
rnacentral:rRNA from 1 species